UACGUAGGGUGCAAGCGUUGUCCGGAAUUAUUGGGCGUAAAGAGCUCGUAGGUGGCUUGUCGCGUCGGCUGUGAAAACUCGGGGCUCAACUCCGAGCUUGCAGUCGAUACGGGCAGGCUAGAGUUCGGCAGGGGAGACUGGAAUUCCUGGUGUAGCGGUGAAAUGCGCAGAUAUCAGGAGGAACACCGGUGGCGAAGGCGGGUCUCUGGGCCGAUACUGACACUGAGGAGCGAAAGCGUGGGGAGCGAACAGG
rnacentral:rRNA from 1 species